CUGACGACAUACUUAGUACAUUGUUACCGCCAACACCAAUAAACUGAGGCCCUGGGUCAGACAGUUUGGGGUGAAAGGGCACAUUCAGGCAGCAGUCCCAUUGUGAGGCUAUGCAGAACCUUCCAGAACAGCCACACCCUCCUUGCUGCCUGUCAUGAUCUCAUUAUUCUCCAGUGACCCAUUCGCCAUCCCAGUAACGGCAGAAGCCAAAAUCGCAUGAACACCAGGCAAUUUGCAGACCACAGCUUUGCCGUCUUUAUCAUCCAUCUCUCUUGGGGCAAAGCUGAGCUGGACUCCGAGGUUGGAAGGCGCUCAGUGAGGAGGAGAGAGUGGGAAGAAGACAGGCUGGCCUCGCAGGAGACUGGUUAUGGAUUAUUUGCAUCAACAGGCGCCUUGCCGGACUGAGAUUACGGGUACCUGUGAUCCAUCUACUGAGCUUGCUGACGCUUCUCUACAACAGUCUUGCUGCUCAGAUCUGACGUUUAUUUUCAAACAACAGGAUGAUGCCAGCUUGCUGGUUCGUUUCUGUCCUGCUAAAUGGUUGAAUGGUUUUCCAUACCUCGCACCAAAUUUUGGCAAAUUGAAUAUGGUUGACUAGAACGAUAUACCUCUGAAUAUUAAAAGUAACUCUGAAGUUGUGGCUCCUUGUUUUUCAUAACUGAGACAGUGUUGGGAAGUUAGGACAACACACCCUGGAGGCAAACUGCCCAGAUGACCACUCAGGGCUGCGUGGCCGGGGCCUCUCCUCAGCCCGCUGUGCCUUGGUUUCCUCAUCAGUAAGAAGAACAGAGGACCACAACCCCUUAUUCAGAUGUACUUGGGACUCAGAAUAUCUCCACUUCUGGAAGGUACCACAGAGCACAUCCCGGAAGUUCCCUAACACCUGUCAUCAGGCAUCCCAGUGUUUCUGCUGGGAAAACGCAUGGGAGGUUCCUCCCGCUGGGACAUGAGAAGGUCUUGCUGCCAAGGGAGCUACAAAAAAGGCUUCCAGUUUUCAGGACAAUUUGGACUUGGGAGUUACAGAAGAGGGCCUGGGGAGCUGUGGCGGGGAAAAGCAGGGCAGCCGGCUCACGUCCCGAGGUGCCGGCCUAUGGCUCUCUGCAGCGCAAGCCGCGGGCAACGCGGGUCAUCGCGGGCGGUACCCAUGACAGUUCGCGGGAGAGCAGAGCUGGCGGCACCCGCUGCUCCCUGCGGAGGCCUGUCUGGUGUUGGGGUCUGAGUUCCACUCCAAGGUGCAGAAAGGAAAACUCAAUCAAGAACAGAGCAGCUUAAAUGUGGACAGCGUCCCUAGACAUCGCCGGCUGUGUCCUGUCUCCUUUUUUUCAGUGCGUCUUUUCAAAAUGAGAGCCUUUCCCUGCCUAGCCAAAAUUAAAUUACCAUACUUGACAAUACGUAAAGAUUCCUUCACAUCAGCCAAGAUUGAGUCCAUCUUCAAAGGUCCCCAGUUGCCCAAAAGUUCCUGUGACAACAGGUUUGUCCGAACAAGACCAUGCAGGGAACCUGGUGACGUCCCGGACUGACUCGAGGAGACUGCUGUCCCGCGGAUGCCCCGCUUCUGACCUGGGGGUGCUGCCUUGUGCUGUGUUUGCUCCUCUAUCCUCUCUCGUUCCUUAAGAAUGGAAAUUCACUCUGAAGGCUGGACAUGUUCAAGAUGGACACUGGGCUGGGCCACCUCUCACAGAGGACCCGCACGUGGGCUCCGCCGUGAGGCCGGGUGUGAUGUCUGUGCAGAUCCACCGGCCUCCCUCUCUCUCUGAAACCAGACGAGUAUCCGGGUCCCCACAGGCCCUCAUCUGAGCGUCUCAACACAGAUUCUAUCCUUGGCCUCAUCAAUCUUCUCAACAGGGAUUGACAAGGAUGGUUUUCUAAUGCUGUCACUCCUCCCUCAUUAUCAGCCAACAUUCCUUUUUAAAGUGGGUCUUUCCUCACAACCAGAGUGCCCUGGUUCUGCCGACAUUCGGUGCCUAGCAGGAAGCAGGAAGCAGGAUAAUGCUUAAAUGUUUCCUUUGGCCAACAAUAUUCAACAGGAAGAGCUGGUUUAAUGUCCAACUUUCUCUCGUGUGAGAGCGAUUAUGGAAUAGUGGAUUUACACAGGUCAGAUGUAGUCAGUCAACCCUGAGCAACAUUCUUUUUGAUGCUCAAAGUGUCACAGAUUUGACCAGUGGGACCUUUUUCAAAUUGGCCUGUUGUCUUUUUGACAGAACUCCAUUAAUCCUUGAAAGCUCUCUUGCUGUCUGGAACAACAAACUGUUCUGAGUUCAUUGUGUGCUCAUUAUGUGCAGAAGAGAAAAUGAAUAAACAAACUGUGGUAUAUUUGAUAGUAAAAUAAUAUUCAGAAAUAAAAAGUAGCAAACUGCUGAUACAUGCGACCAUGUGGCUGAGCCUCAGACCCCAGCCUGCACACCCGCCAGGCUAGAGAACCAUCCUUGGUUUUCUCUGCUCAGGCUCCUCCCCACCUUCACACAUGGUGUUAUCUCUCUCCAGUCAUCAUUGUCCCACAUCAGCCACCAAUCCUACUGUCCCCAUAUUCAUUUUCCCUCCUCUCCCCUGGUCUGUUGCCCACCAACACCCCUG
ensembl:lncRNA